UUUGUUGAAGACAAGCACAAGUCUCAUCUGCCGGCGAAUUUCAAGAAGCUUCUCCUUGUCCAGUUGCGGAAACUCACCGCUGCUGGUAAACUCACCAAGGUGAAGAACUCCUACAAGAUCUCUGCCAAACCAACCUCUGCUGCGAAGUCCAAGUCUGCAGCUGUGAAGCCGAAGUCUGCCGCUGCUAAGCCCAAGUCCGGUGCCAAGAAGGUGAAGAAGGCUGCUGUGAAGCCAAAGCCUAAAUCUACUGCGGUGAAGCCAAAAGCCCCUGCUGUGAAGCCAAAAUCCAAGCCUGCUGCCCCGAAGCCGAAGACAGUGACAAAAUCAAAGACUGCAGGCCGUCCAGCAAAGGCGGCAAAGACAUCUGUCAAAGCUGCUCCGGGAAAGAAGGCUGCUCCAGUGGCUUUGAAGAAGGCUAAGCCUGUGAAGAAGGCAACAACUCCUAAGAAGGCGAAGAAAUAGAUGUGUUUUGAUUGGUGGGGCAGUAUGCUGUAAAUCUGAUGAUCUUGAGGGCUUAUGUUAAGGUUCUAGUUUCGUGUGUGGUUAUGGUGUCAAAUGGAG
rnacentral:misc_RNA from 1 species